UACAAUGGCGUAAACAAAGGGAAGCGAGAGGGUGACCUUAAGCAAAACCCAAAAAUAACGUCCCAGUUCGGAUUGUAGUCUGCAACCCGACUACAUGGAGCUGGAAUCGCUAGUAAUCGCGGAUCAGAAUGCCGCGGUGAAUACGUUCCCGGGUCUUGUACACACCGCCCGUCACACCAUGGGAGUCGGAAAUGCCCGAAGUCGGUGACCUAACCGGAAGGGAGGAGCCGCCGAAGGCAGGUCUGAUGACUGGGGUGAAGUCGUAACAAGGUAAC
rnacentral:rRNA from 1 species